AUUGAACGCUGGCGGCAUGCCUCACACAUGCAAGUCGAACGGCAGCACGGACUUCGGUCUGGUGGCGAGUGGCGAACGGGUGAGUAAUGCAUCGGAACGUACCCGGUAGUGGGGGAUAACUACCCGAAAGGGUGGCUAAUACCGCAUAUACUGUGCGCAGGAAAGCAGGGGACCUUCGGGCCUUGUGCUACCGGAGCGGCCGAUGUCAGAUUAGGUAGGUGGUGGGGUAACGGCCUACCAAGCCUGGGAUCUGUAGCGGGGCUGAGAGGAUGAUCCGCCACACUGGGACUGGGACACGGCCCAGACUCCUACGGGAGGCAGCAGUGGGGAAUUUUGGACAAUGGGCGCAAGCCUGAUCCAGCCAUGCCGCGUGAGUGAAGAAGGCCUUCGGGUUGUAAAGCUCUUUCGGACGGAAAGAAAUCGCGCAGGCUAAUACCCUGCGCGGAUGACGGUACCGUCAUAAGAAGCACCGGCUAACUACGUGCCAGCCGCCGCCGUAAGAC
rnacentral:rRNA from 1 species